UACGGAGGAUGCAAGCGUUAUCCGGAAUGAUUGGGCGUAAAGCGUCCGCAGGUGGCGAUGUAAGUCUGCUGUUAAAGAGCAAAGCUUAACUUUGUAAAAGCAGUGGAAACUACAUCGCUAGAGUGCGUUCGGGGCAGAGGGAAUUCCUGUUGUAGCGGUGAAAUGCGUAGAGAUCAGGAAGAACACCGGUGGCGAAGGCGCUCUGCUAGGCCGCAACUGACACUGAGGGACGAAAGCUAGGGGAGCGAACGGG
rnacentral:rRNA from 1 species